CUGGCUGGUGGGGGGCGUGGCCAGUACGUGAGAGGCGUGGCCAGCUCAUGGGAGGCGUGGCCCGUGGCCGGUUCUUCUGCGGGAAGACGCUUCCAGCCUUCAUGGGGCAGAGCACAGGCCCCCGCAGAGGCUGGGUUUUUCAAGCAUGGGAGAAGCUCCGUUGGGGACCCUGAGUCUCAACUAGGGCAUUCCUGACCCCAGAGGUUAAGUGACUCCAGCUCGAAUCCCCAAACACAGGGCCUGCAGACGUGGGUGCUUUACCUGCAACGUCAGGAAGUGUGUGAGCGGAGGUUGCAGACCGUGUGAAAACUAGGACGCCCCCGUCCCUUCCAUGUAUACAGCGGGGGCAGUGCUUGCUGUGCCUGGGGAGGAAUCUUGGCAUCCACCCUCCUGUAGGGAAGCGGAGUCAUGUGACCCAGCUAAGCCAAUCAGAAGCUACCUCCUGAGAACACAAAAAUGGAAACCAGUUGGGGAUGAUUUGUCCCGAAAGGUUUACCCUAAGGCUCUACUGAGUUCUAGUUUCCCUGAGACCCUGUUAUUCAUCCUUAUUCCUCUAACUCUGUGGGUUUUAAAAAUUGCAAUCUAGCCUGGGCAUGUCUCUAUUGUUUUUCAACGAUGUAAAGAAUACGUGUGUCUAAUAUUUUGGCAGAUGCCUCUAGUUGCCCUCCCAUCAGAGGUAGCCGAUUAAACUUCCACCAACCGUUGGGAACGUUUGGGCUUCGUUUCAUUCUGAUUUGCUUUAAACCGUUGUGUGAUGUUAUGCACAGAAAGUAUCCUUUUAUUCAAUUCUUCUAAUACAUUACCACUUUGAUUUCCUGAUAGAGUGAUUCUAUUUCUAAAUGGGUGAAAUGUCAUUUUCUCCAGUGGGUAGGCCACUAAAUAACUUACCUCAUUCCUAGAAUGCGACAAGCUUGUAUUAUCUUGCCAAAAGUAUAGUUGAUGAAAUGGCCCAGUGUCAAAUUAAUUUUAUUUUGAAGUGGAGUGAUUCAUAAGGAUAUGAGCCACAAACUUGGACUCCAAGGAUUCCCAAACUGAGUAUUCUCACAUGGUCACCUUAGCAACUGUAAACAAUGACAUAAUGGUCAAACAUCAGCGAAAGGAACAGGCACGUACUGUACAGAAAGUUCCCUUAAUGAACACCAUGUUUGCCAAUGACUUUAUUCUUACUCUAAUUGUAGAUUAGGAAAACCAGCUGUAGAAGUAGGCUAAUUUGAACCUAAUCAGAUCCUCCAACUGGGUGAACGCUGUCACUGAGAGCAAUACAGGCAGGACUCACUGCUCUGUGGGAAGAGAGAUGUCCAGGCGAUUUAUGGACUGUGGGAGCCGUAAAUGGAGAAUAAUAGCAAACACUCAAUCACCAAGAAUUGUAUGUACCAGCAAGCGUAUGGAGACAUGAAAUCAUGCCUCCCACCAACUUCUUGAACAUUUCCUGGAGCUUGAAUAAGGGAGCAAAACGUACGCAAAUGAUUUUAUCUCCUCUCCUCUCUCCAUCUACUUUUGUUGAAAUUAAGAAAAGGAUGGAACAUGUCCAGAGGAGAGAGAAUUCUGAUGCUCAGGGCACAGGGGCUUUGCAAGGUUUUGCCCAG
ensembl:lncRNA